ACUUAAAUUGAAGAGUUUGAUCAUGGCUCAGAUUGAACGCUGGCGGCAGGCCUAACACAUGCAAGUCGAGCGGCAGCGGGAAAGUAGCUUGCUACUUUUGCCGGCGAGCGGCGGACGGGUGAGU
rnacentral:rRNA from 1 species